rnacentral:rRNA from 1 species
AACGAACGCUGGCGGCAUGCCUAACACAUGCAAGUCGAACGGGAUCCGGACUUCGGUUCGGUGAGAGUGGCGGACGGGUGAGUAACGCGUGGGAACCUGCCCAGUGGUGGGGGAUAACUGCGGGAAACUGCAGCUAAUACCGCAUGAGACCGAGAGGGGAAAGAUUUAUCGCCAUUGGAGGGGCCCGCGUUCGAUUAGGUAGUUGGUGAGGUAAUGGCUCACCAAGCCGACGAUCGAUAGCUGGUCUGAGAGGAUGAUCAGCCACACUGGGACUGAGAUACGGCCCAGACUCCUACGGGAGGCAGCAGUGGGGAAUAUUGGACAAUGGGGGCAACCCUGAUCCAGCAAUGCCGCGUGAGUGAUGAAGGCCUUCGGGUUGUAAAGCUCUUUUGCCAGGGACGAUGAUGACGGUACCUGGAGAAUAAGCCCCGGCUAACUUCGUGCCAGCCGCCGCGGUAAUAC